rnacentral:lncRNA from 1 species
GGGCAAGACAUGAGACAAAGGGCUGCCUUCACCCACCAGUAGAAGCCUGACCCUGAGCCCAAAGAAACUGCCCACCUGUGUGCUGACCCCAGGGCCUGAGGACAGGUCCCCAAGUGGAUGUCUCAAAGAGAGUCCCACAUUCCAGGGCACAUGGGAACUAUGGCCUUCUGGCAGCUGGAGGGCAGCAGGAAGGGCACAGCUGUCUGAGACCCGUGUGGCUUCCCAGAAAGAGGUGCCACCCCUGAGGAGGCACCGGUGCUCACGGACUCCUGGUUGCCAGUCUUGCCAGGGCAAAAAGGCAAGCGAAGGAAACCCUCUCUUCGUGGGGCACUCUGCCUUGCAGUGUCAGGUGAGAUCCCGGGGGGAAAGCUGGCUUGAGCUUCUCUGGAAUGUGCAGGGAGGACUCCGUCAGGCCCGGCUCUGCCUCCAAGCUGAGCAGCAGGCGAGCCCCAGAGCUCCACCAGCCCCAUUGGCAGAGGAGGGCCCUCACGAGGCAGGAGCCCAUGAUUCAUGCCCUGCUGGAAUUUGUCGAGCAUGCCGAGAUUUGCAGCUCCUCCGAGAUCGGGUCCUGCCCUGAUCAAAAGAAAAGAAGAUGGAUGAGGACACUAUAAAUAGGCCAGAGCCACCCAGCUGGCCUCGGGGAUGCAGGCGGUGUGUGUUCUGGGUUCUCACGAAGCUAAGAAACUCUAAAUCCAGGGUGACAUCGUGGCACACCGCCACCUGCUUCAGGGGGACACAGGGGACAAGGAGGAGCUAUUGGCAGAGCGCUCGGUUCCUGCAAGUUCCAACUUCUGCUAAAAUUGGUUAAUUGGUUCCUUUGCAUGAUUCAGGGCACACAGGCUUCUCUGUCCACAAAAUUUGCUCGCCUGCACACCCAGAGAAAUGGACUUGGCUUGGUUUUUCUGAACUUUUGCCUCUGCGGAAUCAGCAGUGGACGUGUGAGCUGGGGCCUCUGUCCCUGUCAUGUGAGGAGGUCAGGCAGGACAAGCAGGAAGCACUGGGCAAUGAGUCAGGAGGCCUGGUGGGGAGCUUGGGCACCCUGUCAUCGGCCAGAGCUCCUGGGCUCAGCUCUCUCCCCAGUUCAAAUGAACGGCUCCUGGCGAACGAGAAUCUUGUUUCUAAUUCCCAGUUCCCACGCUGGCCUGGUCUGUGUGAAGCAGCUACAUGGUCAAGUCAUCAGCGUCAGACAGGGUCAUGAGACUACACAUAAAGGUGUUCACCGAGGGCUGCACGGGGCCCGAGACCCAGCCCAGCCUGGCUCACCCAGCCCGGCUACCUGGCGUGGGCUGGCUGCUGCUGGGAAGGGACCCUCUCAAAUGCACACAGGCACAACGGCAGCUGAUGACAAAUGGCUCCACUCCUUCCUGCCUUCACGCCGUCUGCAAGGUGACAUUUCAGCUCAUGGGAAGGUGGGAGCUAUUUCCCCACCCCUGCAAUCUGGCAGAUGGCCUUAUGAUUUGUUCUGACCAUACAGUGAGGUGGAAGUGAUGUCAGUUCUGAGCCUAGGCCUUAAGUGCUCUUCUGCCCUUCAGGAGCCCUGUGUGCUAGAGGAUGAGAGACCACAUGGAGCCGAGAGCAGCUAUCCCAGCUGAGGUCCCAGGAAUGUGAGCCCAGCUAAGACAGCAGAGCCAUGUCACCAACCCUUAGUGACCUCAGAAGUGAGCCCAUCUCAGAUCAGCAGAGCCACUCAGUGGGCCUGGAGGCUCACGAGAAAGAAUUAAUGGUUGUGUUUGAAGCUAUUACAUUUGGGGGAGUUUUGUUACACAGCAAUAGAUAACUGAUACAGACAUCCCAUGGACUAUCUCUGAGCAUCACAUACUAAAAAUGUGACUGCAGGAGCAGUUAAUCAGAGAAGCAGGGUCUCACUGUAACUCAAACAGAGACCCCCAGCUGUGGCUAUGGCCUCUCCAGAGGAGAAGAGUCAUAGUGGUUAAGACGCAUAGACAGAGCCUGAAGGCAAGGUUCACUGUGUGGCAGCCAAUCUCCAAAGGUGGCCCCAGGGAACCAUGCCUCCUGGUGUUUCCACCCUUGUUUAGUCCCCUCCCACACGGAAUCUGGAUUGGCCCUAACCCUCACAUUAACCAACAGAAUGCAGUGAAGUGCCACUGUGCCAGUUCCAGGCCUGAGACUUAACAAGACCCAGCAGCUUUGGCCUGUGCGUUCUCAGGAGACUGCUGCCACCUAAGAAGUCUGACCAGCCUGAUGGAGAGGGGCUACCCAGAGGACAUUGAGGGUGCAGAGAUGUGAGUGAUAAGUCAUCUUGGACAUUCUGCCACCAUCUGACGGCAACUGCAUGAGAGACCACAAGCAGAAGAACUACCCAGCUGAGCCCAGCCAACCCACAGAACCCUGAGAAAUAAUAACGAAGUGUUGUUUCAAUGGGGUGUUUGUUACACAGCAAUAGGUAGCUGGUGCACUCUACUUACCAGCUAAGGGUUCUUGUGCAAGUCAUUUGUGUGAACUCUACUGCACUUUGCAAAUGGGGGUGAUUCUCACUAAUCUAAGCCAGGAAAGUCUACCUCCUCACCCUGGGUAUCAUGAAGAACAGCUUUAGAACAAUACUUUAGUUCCCUCUUACAAAGCCAUAAAGGUUCCAGAAAUGUGAGGUUCAGACUCAGAGAACCCAGUAAUCUAUCAUCCCAAAUACACAUCCGAGAGGGUUGUUCCCCUCUUGAAGGGUCAGGGGCAGCUCCUCAUCUCUGGACCUUUCUGGGUCUGCCCUGCCCACUAGUCAGCCCCAUCUCCCAUCCCCCACUGGCCCCUUCCCCAGUUUGUACAUUUGACAACAUAUGACUUGGUGUUCUAGCUGCGGCUCAAAUGCCGCCUCCUCUGACACCUUCCCUGUCCUCUGGGCAGGCUAGGGUGGCUCCUCGUCUG